GAUGAACGCUGGCGGCGUGCCUAAUACAUGCAAGUCGAACGCAUAGUGAAAGGUGCUUGCACCUUUCAAGUGAGUGGCGAACGGGUGAGUAACACGUGGACAACCUGCCUCAAGGCUGGGGAUAACAUUUGGAAACAGAUGCUAAUACCGAAUAAAACUUAGUGUCGCAUGACACAAAGUUAAAAGGCGCUUCGGCGUCACCUAGAGAUGGAUCCGCGGUGCAUUAGUUAGUUGGUGGGGUAAAGGCCUACCAAGACAAUGAUGCAUAGCCGAGUUGAGAGACUGAUCGGCCACAUUGGGACUGAGACACGGCCCAAACUCCUACGGGAGGCUGCAGUAGGGAAUCUUCCACAAUGGGCGAAAGCCUGAUGGAGCAACGCCGCGUGUGUGAUGAAGGCUUUCGGGUCGUAAAGCACUGUUGUAUGGGAAGAACAGCUAGAAUAGGAAAUGAUUUUAGUUUGACGGUACCAUACCAGAAAGGGACGGCUAAAUACGUG
rnacentral:rRNA from 1 species